rnacentral:misc_RNA from 1 species
UCUGGGAUGAAUUCUGUUGGAUCAUCGACUCUCUAUUGCUGGGGCUAUGCUUGUUUUUACAUGCUAACUCCUAAGCCAAGCCACGCACAUCAGGUCGCAUUAUGGAAUCACAAGUUCUCAACGCUCUAUGGGUGGCACCUUGCAGGUAAACAUCAUUUCAUCAUAAGCAUGGAAGGCGCCCCUACAAUUUAUUUUCAAAAUCAGACAACCAUGAGUAAAAAAAAAAAAAAA